rnacentral:rRNA from 1 species
UACGAAGGGGGCUAGCGUUGUUCGGAAUUACUGGGCGUAAAGGGCGCGUAGGCGGGAUGGCAAGUCGGUCGUGAAAUCCCUCGGCUCAACCGAGGAACGUCGAUCGAUACUGCUGUUCUUGAGGAUUGCAGAGGAGACUGGAAUUCCCGGUGUAGCGGUGAAAUGUGUAGAGAUCGGGAAGAACAUCGGUGGCGAAGGCGGCCUGCUGGGCUCUUGCUGACACUGAGGCGCGACAGCGUGGGGGAGCAAACAGG